rnacentral:snoRNA from 1 species
CACCCUUCUCAAAAGCACUCGUUGGGUCUGCGUGCCGUGGCUCAGUGAGUUGUCGUGGAAGGGCAGAGAAAAGCAUCGCUUUUGGGUGAAGUGGCAGCCCGUGCUGUUGAUUUCAAUGGGCGAUGUGACAACG